GUAACACUGCCUUGGAGAGACGAGGAUGCACCAAUGUGACAAACGCUUCCGUACAGCGAGGCGAGACGCAAUACAAGCUUCAUGAACACGGGUUGAAGACGCAGGAGCAGGAAGUGUGGAGUCCAUGAUGCCCUGUCACCACCACCACCACCCUCAGCGGACGUGGAACAGAAGCAUCCGCCGCCGCCACAACUGUGAUAUUCAUAAACCGUGUCUUGCGCAAUAAUGUUAUCCUCGCGUCUUUCAGUGGCAGGGAGGCAUGGCAGCGACCAGCAGUGGCGUGGGAUAUAUGAUGACUGCACUUAUGUUGAUCACCACGGCGGAGUUUGUCGAGUAAUGAUGUUUUAGCUUUCCAAUACCUAAAGUGCAGCUUCCUUCCACUGUAGCCUGAUCAGACAUCAUAUUGUGCUCGGAUCAGCUACGUGAGUGAGGCAAUAGCUGAGAAUAGAAGUAAGAAUAGAAGCUAAAACACCAGAUAAGCAAUGCAAUACUUAACUGCACAGAAAGGAAUAACAUUACUUCAUAAUAAAUAACGAGUGAGAAAAAAAAAA